GUCUGUUCGACUUUUAAAUAAUUACAUGAAUUGAGUUCAGACCGGUGUAAACCAGGUCGGUUUCUAUCUUUUUAUAUUUUAUUGUAGUACGAAAGGACCUAAUAAAUUAAUAUAUUUAAUCUAUAAAUAUUAAAAUUAUAAUUUAAUUUUUAAUAAAUUAUUUUUGUAUUAAAUUUUCUUUUU
rnacentral:rRNA from 1 species